AAGCAUCACACGCAUUAAGGAAGGAGGCCAACCCCACGCGUCUCCUUACAUUGGCCAUGUUUUAUGACAUACCUGCCUAACCCAGACAUUAAUCUACUGAAGAUGGAUUGGCCUGGUCAUGGUCCUCUGCUAACCUUCAACGGCAUGCACAUUACCUAAAUUGAAAUCUGCACUUUUUCAUGCCAUGAAUGGUUUGAUGUGACGGUCCAAGGAAUGUCGGCUGCAUUAGAAUGGGUUUUUAUGGGGACUGAAGCUCCUUCCUAUUUACCUUUCAGCAGAGCAGCUGCAGGCUCUCCUUUUCACUUGACAAUGAAGGCAUUCAUCCCCAGUGAUCACCCCAAGAGAUGCUGCCCAUACUGGCUCAGAAUUGUGUGGCCUUUCUCAGCAUCAUUAAAACUAGCCAGCGUGGAGAAGCACCUGAAAAAAUGUUCAACAUUCUUAAUCAUCAGGGAAAUGCAAAUCAAAACAACCAUGAAAUUCCACCUCAACCAGUCAGAAUGGCUAAGAUCAAAAAUUCAAGUGACAGCAGAUGCUGGGGAGGAUAUGGAGAAAGAGGAACACUCCUCCAUUGCUGGUGGGAUUGCAAGCUUGUACAACCACUCUGGAAAUCAGUCUGGUGGUUCCUCAGAAACCUGGACAUAGUACUACCGGUAGAUCCAGCAAUGCCUCUCCUGGGCAUAUACCUAGAUGUUCCAACUGGUAAGAAGGACACAUGAUCCACUAUGUUCAUAGCAGCCCUAUUUAUAAUAGCCAGAAGCUGGAAAGAACCCAGAUGCCCCUCAACAGAGGAAUGGAUACAGAAAAUGUGGUACAUUUACACAAUGGAGUACUACUCAGCUAUUAAAAACAAUGAAUUUAUGAAAUUCUUGGGCAAAUGGAUGUAUCUGAAGGAUAUCAUCCUGAGUGAGGCAACCCAAUCACAAAAGAAGUCACUUGAUAUGCACUCACUGAUAAGUGGAUAUUAGCCCAGAAACAUGGAAUACCCAAGAUACAACUUCCAAACCACAAGAAAAUCAAGAAGGAAGACCAACUUGCGGAUACUUCAUUCCUCCCUAGAAUAGGGAAUAAAAUAUCCAUGGAAGGAGUUUCAGAGACAAAGUUUGGAGCUAAGACAAAAGGAUGGACCAUCCAAAGACUGCCCCACCCAGGGGUCCAUCCCAUAAUAAGCCACCAAACGCAGACACUAUUGCAUGCACCAGCAAUAUUUUGCUGAACGGACCCUGGUAUAGCUGUCUGCUGUGAGGCUUUGCCAGUGCCUGGCAAAUACAGAAGUGGUUGCUCACAGUCAUCUAUAGGAUGGAACACAGGGCCCCCAAUGUAGGAGCUAGAGAAAGUACCCAAGAGCUGAAAGGGUCUGCAACACUAUAUGUGGAACAACAAUAUAAACUAGUCAGUACCCCUAGAACUCGUGUCUCUAGCUGCAUAUGUAGCAGAAGAUGGCCUAGUCGACCAUCAUUGGGAAGAGAGGACCCUUGGUCUAGCAAACUUUAUAUGCCCCAGUACAGGGGAAAGCCAGGGCCAAGAAGUGGGAGUGGGUGGGUAGGGGAGCAGGGUGGGGGGAGGGUAUAUGGGGACUUUUGGGAUAGCAUUGGAAAUGUAAAUGAAGAAAAUAUCUAAUUAAAAAAACCAAAACUAGCCAGCGUGGUUGAAGCUUCCAUAUCCAUACAACCUUGACUUCACAUGUUCCACGAUUUAGUUAUAUGAUAGCGAGAGGGUCUUAGUAUUUUGCUAUGCUUGGUGUAGAACUAAGUGCCUUGUUGCAUGCUCUAUUAUAGACCCACUCUUCAGCUCCUUAAACACUUUUUUAAAAAAGACUUAAGAUCUAGUUCAAUGGGCAGAAUGUUUACCUAGAAUGCACAAAAGUCUGGGUCUAUCCUGUCACUUCACAAAACAGAUAUAGAGAUGUAUCCAAGAAAUCAGAGAUCUUAGAAUGUAGA
rnacentral:lncRNA from 1 species